UUCUUUCUUUGAUUCUAUAAAUUGUCUUUCUGGGGUAUUGGUUAAAGAUAGAAAACUGAGUAAAGAUUGGGUCUUUUUUUGAUUUUCUAAUUUUUUUUGAAACAUGAAGAAUAAUCUAUCUGGGUUAGAUAUGGGUAUGUGCUGUUGAUGAUGGUGGUAUAAUUACAGAGUCAAAGUUCAUGUUUGUUUGUGAUUCCGG
rnacentral:lncRNA from 1 species